rnacentral:rRNA from 1 species
CCUACGGGGGGCAGCAGUGAGGAAUAUUGGUCAAUGGGCGGAAGCCUGAACCAGCCAAGUCGCGUGAGGGAAUAAGGCCCUACGGGUCGUAAACCUCUUUUGCCGGGGAGCAAGGGCGGGGACGUGUCCCGGCCCGGAGAGUACCCGGAGAAAAAGCAUCGGCUAACUCCGUGCGAGCAGCCGCGGUAAUACGGAGGAUGCGAGCGUUAUCCGGGUUUAUUGGGUUUAAAGGGUGCGGAGGCGGGCUUUUAAGUCAGGGGAAAAAAUUCGGGGCACAAUCCCGCCGGGCCGUCGGAACGGGGGGGCUUGGGGGCGGCGGAGGCAUGGGGAAUGCGCGGUGUAGCGGUGAAUGCAUAGAUAUCGCGCAGAACCCCGAUUGCGAAGGCAGCGUGCCGUGCCGCAACUGACGGUGAGGCACGAAAGCGCGGGGAUCGAACAGGAUUAGAUACCCUUGUAGUC